AUUGAACGCUGGCGGCAGGCCUAACACAUGCAAGUCGAGCGGAUGAAGGGAGCUUGCUCCUGGAUUCAGCGGCGGACGGGUGAGUAAUGCCUAGGAAUCUGCCUGGUAGUGGGGGAUAACGUCCGGAAACGGGCGCUAAUACCGCAUACGUCCUGAGGGAGAAAGUGGGGGAUCUUCGGACCUCACGCUAUCAGAUGAGCCUAGGUCGGAUUAGCUAGUUGGUGGGGUAAAGGCCUACCAAGGCGACGAUCCGUAACUGGUCUGAGAGGAUGAUCAGUCACACUGGAACUGAGACACGGUCCAGACUCCUACGGGAGGCAGCAGUGGGGAAUAUUGGACGAUGGGCGAAAGCCUGAUCCAGCCAUGCCGCGUGUGUGAAGAAGGUCUUCGGAUUGUAAAGCACUUUAAGUUGGGAGGAAGGGCAGUAAGUUAAUACCUUGCUGUUUCGACGUUACCAACAGAAGAAGCACCGGCUAACUUCG
rnacentral:rRNA from 1 species